UCAUAUCGAUGACAAUGACUUUAUUAGAAAGAUACCAGAUUUCAUCCAAAACUGGGUAAAUCUCACCAAAUUAUGGAUUGUGGGUAGUGGAUUGGAAGGACCAAUUCCUCCUGGCAUUGGUCUGUUGACAAAAUUAUCCGACUUGAGAAUCAGUGAUUUAAAUGGUUUCCAAGCAUCAUCCU